GAUGAACGCUGGCGGCGUGCCUAAUACAUGCAAGUCGAGCGAACAGACGAGGAGCUUGCUCCUCUGACGUUAGCGGCGGACGGGUGAGUAACACGUGGAUAACCUACCUAUAAGACUGGGAUAACUUCGGGAAACCGGAGCUAAUACCGGAUAAUAUAUUGAACCGCAUGGUUCAAUAGUGAAAGACGGUUUUGCUGUAACUUAAAGAUGGAUCCGCGCCGCAUUAGCUAGUUGGUAAGGUAACGGCUUACCAAGGCGACGAUGCGUAGCCGACCUGAGAGGGUGAUCGGCCACACUGGAACUGAGACACGGUCCAGACUCCUACGGGAGGCAGCAGUAGGGAAUCUUCCGCAAUGGGCGAAAGCCUGACGGAGCAACGCCGCGUGAGUGAUGAAGGUCUUCGGAUCGUAAAACUCUGUUAUUAGGGAAGAACAAAUGUGUAAGUAACUAUGCACGUCUUGACGGUACCUAAUCAGAAAGCCACGGCUAACUACGUG
rnacentral:rRNA from 1 species